GAUGAACGCUAGCUACAGGCUUAACACAUGCAAGUCGAGGGGAAACGACAUCGAAAGCUUGCUUUUGAUGGGCGUCGACCGGCGCACGGGUGAGUAACGCGUAUCCAACCUGCCCACCACUUGGGGAUAACCUUGCGAAAGUAAGACUAAUACCCAAUGAUAUCUCUAGAAGACAUCUGAAAGAGAUUAAAGAUUUAUCGGUGAUGGAUGGGGAUGCGUCUGAUUAGCUUGUUGGCGGGGUAACGGCCCACCAAGGCAACGAUCAGUAGGGGUUCUGAGGGGAAGGUCCCCCACAUUGGAACUGAGACACGGUCCAAACUCCUACGGGAGGCAGCAGUGAGGAAUAUUGGUCAAUGGACGAGAGUCUGAACCAGCCAAGUAGCGUGCAGGAAGACGGCCCUAUGGGUUGUAAACUGCUUUUAUAAGGGAAUAAAGUGAGUCUCGUGAGACUUUUUGCAUGUACCUUAUGAAUAAGGACCGGCUAAUUCCGUG
rnacentral:rRNA from 1 species